ACAACGAAAAGUAUCUUUAUACUAUAUAAGUUAUGAGACUAGUAACCUGAAAAAUAAGGCAGGUAAUCUAAACAAUAUUAUUGAAUUUGAUUGUUAUAUAAGUGAAUGUUCCAUUAAUUGUUAUUUUGUCGACCUAGUAGGGAAUUGCUCAAGGGUGCAUUUCGGGCGUAAGCUCCUUCGCCAACAUUCUCUCUCCAUUUAUAUUUAGUCCUUUGACAGAUCUUUUCUUAUCUGAGAGAGCUCCAUUUAAUUAUCCUGGUUUUAGUAUGUUUUGCAUCGGCCUUGCUUGGUUGAUAGCAUUUAUUCCUAGCAUGAUGAUAAGGUUUGGUUCCUACAAUUCAAGAUUCAAAAUCAGGGACGUCGUCUGCUAGGAGGCUUGAAGGAGAAUUUAACAAGCUAUACAGUCAAACCUCUCUAUAACAUCGUCGUUUUGUUCCGAAUAUUUUUGGAUGUUAUAGCGAAAUACUGUUAUAG